GUGGGGCCGCGGCUGCGCGGGGCUCCUGGCGGCCGGGGCCGUGCGCGCCGGCCGAGCUGGGCGCGGGCGCCGCAUUUAACCUUGACUUCUCCCUCCUGGCUUCUGGCAUGGCAGGAAAGCCGGUCCAGAUGGGCGUCCUGAGUGUGACCACGUCUCCUCCCGCUCCCCGCCCAGGCACAGAUGUCACAGGCCGCCCGUGAAGGCCGCGGACCUCCGUGCCCAGGGGUGGCAGACGAGGCCGUGCCCUCCCUACUCAGCCGCCUUGAGGGUCCCAAGCGUCCCGGUCUCUGGCCUGGACCCACUGGGCUAAGGGCGCCCAGGCCAGCUCAGGGUGAUCCUGCAGGAGUCUCUGGAGACAAGGGCGAGCCUGUGCUCGGCUGCCAGGGACGUCCCCCCGGGAUGAGCCCCGAGCUAUCCCCGCGGCCCUGGGCCAGGCUGCCCCGCGGGGCGCUGGGACCUGACCGGGCAGGGACCUCUGAGACUCCGGAGACCUGCGCGCUUGGACAACAGGAGCCAGAAGACCCAGCAGACAUGAGUGAAAACAGCUGCCUGCACAAGUUGUCCCCUAACAGGUACAGCCAAGAGUCAGAAGCACAGAGGGAGCUGGGGAAGCGACAUUUCUUACAGAGCCCACUGCUGUCCCUGUGUGAAGUGGCUCAUAUCAGCUCUCGAUUCUAUGCCGGUGUUCUGGAUUUCCUCUUGAGAUGUGCAUUUGUAUCAGCCAUCCUGUCCCCUGUGCCUCUGACGAGCUCCCUUCUGGAUGGCCUGCUGUCAUGCUGAGAUGACCCUUCACUAACAUCUGAGAAGUCCCUUUGCUGUUCUACGGUGUGGAAAACUUGUUUCCUCCAUCUCAUGUCUUCUUCCUUGCUUAAUUCCUUUGUUUAAUGAAACAAAUUAAUUCCUUUGUUAAUGAAACUUCCCAAUAGUUUCCUAAGAAAAGUGUGUAAGUGGUCAACUAUUUGCAACCUAAUAUGUCUGAAAAUUCUACAUAUACUUUUAACAUGUAGUUUGAUUGGGUAGAUGAGUCCAGUGUGGAAAUAUUUUUUCAAAAAUUAGAAGCUAUUGCACUAUUGUCUUGUAGUAUGGUGUGUUGCUUUUGAGAAGUUGUAAGCCAUUUUUUUUUAAUCCUUUGUGUGUUUAUAUCUUUUCUUCUGUUUUUGCACCUCACAACCUUUUAUUUAUUUUUUCUCAUCAAU
ensembl:lncRNA